AGAGAAUCGCUUGAAUCCAGGAGGCGCAGGUUGCAGUGAGCCGAGAUUGCCCCACUGCACUCCAACCUGGGGGACAGAG
rnacentral:snRNA from 1 species